rnacentral:rRNA from 1 species
UACAGAGGUCUCGAGCGUUAGGCGGAAUCACUGGGCUUAAAGCGUGUGUAGGUGGAUCGUUAAGUACCUUGUGAAAUCCCACGGCUUAACCGUGGAACUGCUCGGUAUACUGCGAAUCUUGAGCCACUUAGGGGCUACCGGAACAAAUGGUGGAGCGGUGAAAUGCGUAGAUAUCAUUUGGAACGCCAAUGGUGAAAACAGGUAGCUGGGAGUGUGCUGACACUGAGACACGAAAGCCAGGGGAGCGAACGGG